rnacentral:misc_RNA from 1 species
AAGUCGUAACAAGGUUUCCGUAGGUGAACCUGCGGAAGGAUCAUUACAAAUCGGUCUGGUUGGCUGGUGGGGGGAGUGUGGGGCAGUAGUGAGUGAGUGAGUGAGUGAGAAAUCAUCAUAUCGCUUGCAUAGCCCACGCACCCACCUGCCGCUUUCCUACAUAUGCACAAGGUCGAAGGAUCUUGAUGUUUACGCUUGAAUGUUUGACAAAUUCAUUUUACGGUUAUAAAAGAUACAACUUUUAACAAUGGAUCUCUUGGCUCUU